CACCUUUACAACAAGACAAACUGUGUGGAGAAACAAUCCAAUCGAGACAAUUGUGAGAGAUUUCUUUUGACUUCUGACUGGAGAGUCUCCAGAUAAUUCAGUAGGUUAACCAGAGAUAAUACAGAAAGAUUGUAAAAGAUCUUUGGUCUAACUAACCCACCCUAAAGAAGGCUCUGCGCAGCUGCGUGUGGGUGUCUGCCCUGAUCAUGUUUUUAACUUAAAAUAGCCAUGCAAUGAAGGCUAUUUAUCAUUUUUGGAUAAGAAGAGUGCUUUGGACUCCCUCUUUUUUGAUGAUACUGGUUUCCUCACUUCAUAUUUUUGGUCUAACUCAGGGGAGUCAGCUGACCCAGGGGCACAGUAGGGCCCUGAGAGAUUUUUUUU